UUUCUGCAUUAAUUUUCUUAGGAUAAUGGCCUCCAGCUUCAUCCAUAUUGCUGCAAAAAAAUGUGAUUUUAAUGUUUUUUAUGGCUGAGUAUACUUUCAGUCCAAUUAGAUUAUUUCCUUUCUGCAAGAAUCAUUGUCCAUUUUUAACAUUCAGUUGAGUCUAGGAAACUUGCAUAAUUUUUAUUCCACAUUUUUCUUCUUGAAAAAAAGACUUGGACUUUCUAAUUCCAUCUUAGCCUAGUGGAUAGAGUAAAUACUCCGGAAAUAAAAAGUGCCAGACAAGGGUCUUUAGUAGAAUGAGGAGCAUGGCACAGAGAGAACCUUCUUCAAUGAUGCUACAAAUCUUCAGUAAAAACUCCCAUGUGCGCUCCCGCACACACAAACACACAAACACACACACUCUUACUUAUUUGGAUUUCUUGUUAAAGAUUAUUAUUUUGUAGCUAGAUAAUAAUGGAACAAAACAGUCAGUGUGUGUGGUGGAGAGAACUGAUUGUAUCUGUAAUGCAUGAGCGUUAACUAGAGUCAUUCAUGUACAAAGGUUAAAAACGAUGUGGUAUACAGGCAAAGGAGGAUAUGUGCAUUUUCACUGGAUCUUGUUGUUUGGGCACCUGAGACAAGCUGGCAGUCACUAAAUCUCAGCGAUCACUCAAUGUGUGCCAGGCAUUCGCACACAAUAUCACUAACACCCAUGACAGUCCUUCAAGAGAGGUUCUGCUGUCUGAGAGAUUAUGUGACACGCCUAAGGUCACAGGAUCAGCAAAUACUAGGGCUGAGAUUUAAACCCAGAACUGUCUACUGCCAAAGCUUUUGCGCUCUCCCUCGUGCCACGUUGCUUCUCAUUUUGGGCUUGGUCUCCACUUCCCAGUCCUUGAAGGAGUUCUCCAGGUCUGCCCCAUUAGCACUGCAUCUCAGAAGGAAGCUGCAGCUGCGCCGCCAAUCUCCCGGUGGUAGGUGCUUAAUAAACAUUAUGAAGUGCAUGAACAAAUGAAUAGCCCCUGAUGGACAGACAUGCUUGAGAAACACUAUUUUUCACAUUCCUAUCUACACUCAAGAUUUUACCUAUGAUAGCAGGCUGAAGAUUCCCAGGAUCUUACAUCCUAGCAGGCAAUGCCUCUGCAUCCUCAUCAGCGAAACCGGAUUGAUCUUGCCUGCUUCCCUGGCUUUGAUGGAUGCAACAGAAGAAUAUAUGCAGAAGUCCCUAAUGCAGUGCCUGAUGCAUGAUAAAUGCUCAAAUAUAACAGACAGAAAAUCUGUGUAUGUUGUAUAAGCCCUGCAGUGUGUGGUACUUUGCUUCAACAGCCAAAGCAAAUGAAUACAGCCUCCAUGGUAGGCAAUGGGACAAGGAUUCAGCAUUCAGGAUCCUACCUGUGUCUUCUUCAGGAGCCCUAACAGUUCAGCUGAGCUGAAAGGAUGAGGAGGAAGCCCUUGGCGAUGGAACUUCUAGACAAGCCAAGGCCUGCCUGGCAGAGCUGGGAGCAGAUUGAGGAAGACACCACUGCCCCUCCACCCACCCCGCCGCCGCCUUCAUGUUGCCUUGAUCUUCUAUCCUCAGCUGACAUUUUUGUCGCUCAUCUCUGAUUGAAGAAACCUCAGUUUCUUAUUUGAUCUUUCCUGGACAACCGUUUAAUAGGCAGCAAGAAAAAGAGAUGAGAGAAAGUGAUUUUUCAUCCCUGACUUGACAUGAUAUUUUCCUUUUAACAAUUUAUCCAUACCUCUCCUCUCAGUUUCUCUCCUUUCAUAUACUCACAUACUAUCUGCCUCUCUGCAUAGCAAAGCAACCUUUUGAGCAGUUCUCUAAGAAGAUUCUAAAAAGCAAGGAAAAAGCAGGAUCACAAUAGCUCCUUCCCCAGUUCAAUUCAGCAAGCUUUUCUGAGCACCAGUCCAGAUGCAAGGCACAAUGAGAGGCAAGAUGAAGAAUGGGGGUUACUCUAUCCUCAUCGGACCAAUUUAGAAUCCAGUACAUGCACAUACAGGAAAAAUCCAAUGUGUUCAUCAUCUGUGUGUUCCAUAAUCAUUUACUGAGCACCUUUUAUCAAAAAGAGAAACCAUUUUUAAAGUAAACUGGAUUCUCUAUUAUAACAACAGUGAAGUUUGGCAAAAUGUUUUCCUCAUGUGAAGGCUUGAAUUUAAAGAAUUUUAAUUUAUGUUCAUUAUGAUUCAAUCCAACAUUUGUCUUUUUGUAUGUAUUAGAUCUUGCGAGGGACACAAAGAUAAUCAAGUUGUGGAUCUAGGUCUUAAGACGUAUAAAAUUGAGUGGGUCUAUGUCUUCCAAUACACAAAGUCAAGUGGAGAGACAUAAAUAACACUAACUUCAGUGCAAUGUAUACUAAAGGAUACGGAAUGACUUAUUCAGCAGCUACUAUGUGCCUGGUGCUUUACCCAUAUGAUUAAUAAAGCAUCUUUUGGUGAUA
rnacentral:lncRNA from 1 species